UACAGAGGUCCCGAGCGUUGUUCGGAUUCAUUGGGCGUAAAGGGUGCGCAGGCGGCAGGGUAAGUCUGAUGUGAAAUCCCGGGGCUCAACUCCGGAACUGCAUUGGAUACUGCUCUGCUUGAGUACUGGAGAGGAGACUGGAAUUUACGGUGUAGCAGUGAAAUGCGUAGAGAUCGUAAGGAAGACCAGUGGCGAAGGCGGGUCUCUGGACAGUUCCUGACACUGAGGCACGAAGGCCAGGGGAGCAAACGGG
rnacentral:rRNA from 1 species